CAACAAGGCUGAAGUCUCUGCUGCUCCACAACCUACCUGCCAGUUUGGUCACAGGAACCUGCGUGUUUCAGAUAAGAUACCUCUUGGAUACCUCUUGAUUCACUCUUCUUCCUGCCACUGUGGUGAGGAUCAUUGAGUCUUUGACCAGCUUUAUGCAGAUCAGCUGGGACUAAGCCCACACAAGGAGCUGAAGACACAUCUUGUAAGAGUCUUGUUUUACUUCUGCAUGGUUUCAUACUCACGGGAUGUGCUCUACCUGAGG
rnacentral:lncRNA from 10 species